rnacentral:rRNA from 1 species
GAGUUUGAUCCUGGCUCAGAUUGAACGCUGGCGGCAUGCCUUACACAUGCAAGUCGAACGGCAGCACGGGGGCAACCCUGGUGGCGAGUGGCGAACGGGUGAGUAAUACAUCGGAACGUGUCCUGUAGUGGGGGAUAGCCCGGCGAAAGCCGGAUUAAUACCGCAUACGCUUUACGGAGGAAAGGGGGGGAUCUUAGGACCUCUCGCUACAGGGGCGGCCGAUGGCAGAUUAGCUAGUUGGUGGGGUAAAGGCCUACCAAGGCGACGAUCUGUAGCUGGUCUGAGAGGACGACCAGCCACACUGGGACUGAGACACGGCCCAGACUCCUACGGGAGGCAGCAGUGGGGAAUUUUGGACAAUGGGGGCAACCCUGAUCCAGCAAUGCCGCGUGUGUGAAGAAGGCCUUCGGGUUGUAAAGCACUUUUGUCCGGAAAGAAAACCGCCGCCCUAAUAUGGUGGUGGGAUGACGGUACCGUGAAGAAUA